AUCAUUUUUUGAGCGUUAAAUAUGUAACAGUCGUCAUGACUUGCAUUUGAGAUCGUAUCAGUGUCGUACCUGAAGUAAAAUUUAAUAUCGCAUAUAGUCAUACGAUUUCACUAUAUGCACAUUUUUCUCGUCAACAUAGAAAUAUAUUGCGACGAGGCUAAGCUAUGUGAUACAAACCUUAAUACUAAAUCGGAAUUAAUUUGUAUGAUCGUGAAGCGAUUAAUUCAUAUAUUAAUGUUUACAACUAUAAAAAAUAAAAUCAGGGUUAAGAACUUAAUUGUCUGUUGACAUUUAUGUGCGUAGAUCUUUGUAUAAAAGAUUUAAGUAAUGAUAGCUCUCAUACAGUAUUUAAAUAAAUCUUAAAGAAAUUCAAUUUAAAAUCUUUAGUGCUUGUUAACAUUAAUCAAUGAUAUGUAAAAGUAACCAGAAGAUUUGAAAAUUAUUGCAGCUAAUAAUGCGCAAUAUAAACGUAGCUAGGUUCCAACUUAGAUUUACUUCUGUAUUGAAAAUCUACAAUUCUGAUAAUGUAUAUCAAACACAUAACCAAUAUAAUAUUUCUUUAGAUAAAAUUACAUGAGGUAAGUUUAUCAAGAAGUUAUAACAAUUGACUAUUAGUUAUUUUUUUCUUAGAGAACCUAUGUUCUAACCCUAAUUUGAACUUCUUCAGCAUAAAAACAGUAAACAUAGUAGUUUUGUGUUUCAGUUCUGUUAAACAUAAGAUAAAUUGUAUUACUUUUUAUUUGAAGAAAAUGGCUCAAAUUAGAGGACUAGAAACAUACGUUUUCUACAACUAUGUAAUUUUAUUUAAAGAAACAUUUUGAUAAAACAUUGUGUGAAAAAAUAACAAAAGAAUAAAAAAAAAGCAAAGAGUACAUUGUAAAUUAGUUUAUAUAGCCAACUUUAUUAUAUUAUUUUUAUUUAUAUUUAAUGCACACUUAAGCAACAUUUAGCACGUUUAUCCACAUAACGUUUUAUUACAUGGACAUGUAUCGAAACACUUGUAAAUUUAGUACAUGAUACUGAGAAUGAUUGGACUUGAAACAUAUAUAGAAGUUUGAAGAAAAUACAUUUGAGAUAAUAUGCACGAA